rnacentral:rRNA from 1 species
GUGGGGAAUAUUGGACAAUGGGCGAAAGCCUGAUCCAGCAAUGCCGCGUGAGUGAUGAAGGCCUUAGGGUUGUAAAGCUCUUUUACCAGGGAUGAUAAUGACAGUACCUGGAGAAUAAGCUCCGGCUAACUCCGUGCCAGCAGCCGCGGUAAUACGGAGGGAGCUAGCGUUGUUCGGAAUUACUGGGCGUAAAGCGCGCGUAGGCGGCGAUUUAAGUCAGAGGUGAAAGCCCGGGGCUCAACCCCGGAAUAGCCUUUGAGACUGGAUUGCUAGAAUCCUGGAGAGGUGAGUGGAAUUCCGAGUGUAGAGGUGAAAUUCGUAGAUAUUCGGAAGAACACCAGUGGCGAAGGCGGCUCACUGGACAGGUAUUGACGCUGAGGUGCGAAAGCGUGGGGAGCAAACAGGAUUAGAAACCCUAGUAGUCC